UGGGGGAUAUUGCACAAUGGGCGAAAGCCUGAUGCAGCCACGCCGCGUGAGGGAAGACGGUUUUCGGAUUGUAAACCUCUGUCUUCGGUGAAGAAACAAAUGACGGUAGCCGAGGAGGAAGCCACGGCUAACUACGUGCCAGCAGCCGCGGUACUACGUAGGUGGCAAGCGUUGUCCGGAAUUACUGGGUGUAAAGGGAGCGCAGGCGGGGAGACAAGUCAGCUGUGAAAACUAUGGGCUUAACCCAUAAACUGCAGUUGAAACUGUUUUGCGUGAGUGGAGUAGAGGUAGGCGGAAUUCCGAGUGUAGCGGUGAAAUGCGUAGAUAUUCGGAGGAACACCAGUGGCGAAGGCGGCCUACUGGGCUCUAACUGACGCUGAGGCUCGAAAGUGUGGGGAGCAAACA
rnacentral:rRNA from 1 species